rnacentral:ncRNA from 1 species
AAAGACUUAGUCCUAACCUUACUGUUAGUUCUUACCAGAUAUAUACAUGCAAGUAUCCGCACCCCAGUGUAAAUGCCCUUAGCCUCUUAUAAAGACGAAAGGAGCCGGCAUCAGGCUCACCAACUACUAUCGCCCAAGACGCCUUGCUUAGCCACACCCCCACGGGCAUUCAGCAGUAAUUAACAUUAAGCAAUGAGUGUAAACUCGACUUAGUCAUGGUAACAUUAAGGGUUGGUAAAUCUUGUGCCAGCCACCGCGGUCAUACAAGAAACCCAAAUUAACCGUCACACGGCGUAAAGCGUGGCCCACACUCAUAUCACAAUAACUAGGGUAAAAAUGCAACUAAGCUGUCAUAAGCCAAAGAUUCACAUAACCCCCCUAUUAAAACAACCCUAGCACUAUCAAGACUCACCCUCGCCACGAAAGCCAGGGUACAAACUGGGAUUAGAUACCCCACUAUGCCUGGCCCUAAAUCUAGAUGUUCACCACCCACCAAAACAUCCGCCAGAGAAUUACGAGCACAAACGCUUGAAACUCUAAGGACUUGGCGGUACCCCAAACCCACCUAGAGGAGCCUGUCCUAUAAUCGAUAACCCACGAUACACCCGACCACCCCUAGCCCGAGCAGCCUACAUACCGCCGUCACCAGCCCACCUCAUUGAAAGACCUACAGUGAGCACAACAGCCCCUCGCUAACAAGACAGGUCAAGGUAUAGCCAACGGGGUGGAAGAGAUGGGCUACAUUUUCUAAAAUAGAAAACCACGAAAGGAGGCAUGAAACUGUCACCGGAAGGCGGAUUUAGCAGUAAAAUGGGACAAGAAUGCCCCCUUUAAGCCGGCUCUGGGGUACGUACAUACCGCCCGUCACCCUCCUCACAAGCUACCCAUAGCAUAACUAAUACCCAACCUAACUGAAGACGAGGU